AACGAACGCUGGCGGCGUGGAUUAGGCAUGCAAGUCGUACGAUCUUCGGAUAGUGGCGAAAGGGUGAGUAACACGUGGGUAAUUUGCCCCAAGGCUCGGAAUAACACUUCGAAAGAGGUGCUAAUACCGGAUGUGUUCCCGACAACAUAAGUUGUCAGGAGGAAAGGCGGGGAUAUUUGACAUCUUUGAUGUCAAGUGCCUGUCACCUUAGGAUAAGCCCGCGUCCUAUCAGCUUGUUGGUGAGGUAACGGCUCACCAAGGCUAUUGACGGGUAGCUGGUCUAAGAGGAUGGUCAGCCACACUGGGACUGAGACACUGCCCAGACUCCUACGGGAGGCUGCAGUCGAGAAUCUUUCGCAAUGGGGGAAACCCUGACGAAGCGACGCCGCGUGAGCGAGGAAGGCCUUCGGGUUGUAAAGCUCUGUCACGUGGGACGAAUGCCGGAGAUCUAACAGAUCAAAGGCUCGACUGUACCACGAGAGGAAGCCACGGCUAACUCCGUGCCAGCAGCCGCGGUAAUACGGAGGUGGCUAGCGUUGUUCGGAUUUAUUGGGUGUAAAGGGCGUGUAGGUGGCUUUGUAAGUCAGAUGUGAAAUCCCUUGGCUUAACCAAGGAACUGCAUCUGAAACUGCAUAGCUUGAGUGCAGGAGAGGAGAACGGAAUUCCCGGUGGAAGGGUGAAAUCUGUAGAGAUCGGGAGGAACACCAGUGGCGAAGGCGGUUCUCUGGACUGCAACUGACACUGAAAUGCGAAAGCUAGGGGAGCAAACAGAAUUAGAUACUCUGGUAGUCCUAGCCGUAAACGAUGGGUACUAGGUGUAGGUCCGCGAGGAUCUGUGCCGCAGUUAACACGUUAAGUACCCCACCUGGGGACUACGGCCGCAAGGCUAAAACUCAAAGGAAUUGACGGGGACCCGCACAAGCGGUGGAGCAUGUGGUUUAAUACGACGCUACGCGUGGAACCUUACCAGGACUUGACAUGUACUUGAAAGCCUGAUGAAAGUCGGGUCCUCCCUCAAGGACAAGUACACAGGUGUUGCAUGGCUGUCGUCAGCUCGUGUCGUGAGAUGUUGGGUUAAGUCCCGCAACGAGCGCAACCAUUGUUUUUAGUUGCCACCCUACCUUUGGUAGGAGCACUCUAAAGAGACUGCCUGUGUUUAACAGGAGGAAGGUGGAGACGACGUCAAGUCAGUAUGGCCCUUAUGUCCUGGGCUACACACGUGCUACAAUGGCCGGUACAAUGAGAAGCGAGACCGCAAGGUGGAGCAAAUCUCAAAAAGCCGGCCCCAGUUCGGAUUGAAGGCUGCAAUUCGCCUUCAUGAAGUUGGAAUCGCUAGUAACCGCACAUCAGCCACGGUGCGGUGAAUACGUUCCCGGGUCUUGUACACACCGCCCGUCAAGCCACCUGAGUUAAGUGCACCCGAAGUCGCCAUACCAACCCUCGCGGGAGGAAAGCGCCGACGGUGUGCUUGAUAAGGAGGGCU
rnacentral:rRNA from 1 species